rnacentral:rRNA from 1 species
UACGUAGGGGUCUAGCGUUGUCCGGAAUUAUUGGGCGUAAAGAGCUCGUAGGCGGUUCGGCAAGUCGGAUGUGAAAUCUCCACGCUUAACGUGGAGGGGCCAUUCGAAACUGCCGUGACUCGAGUCCGGUAGGGGAGUUCGGAAUUCCCGGUGUAGCGGUGAAAUGCGUAGAUAUCAAGAGGAACACCUGAGGUGAAGACGGGUUGCUGGGCCAACACUGACGCUGAGGCGCGAAAGCCAGGGGAGCAAACGGG